AUUGAACGCUGGCGGCAGGCCUAACACAUGCAAGUCGAACGAGUGGCGGACGGGUGAGUAAUGUCUGGGAAACUGCCCGAUGGAGGGGGAUAACUACUGGAAACGGUAGCUAAUACCGCAUACCAUCGGAUGUGCCCAGCUGGGAUUAGCUAGUAGGUGGGGUAACGGCUCACCUAGGCGACGAUCCCUAGCUGGUCUGAGAGGAUGACCAGCCACACUGGAACUGGACCACGGUCAGGAGUCCAACGGGAGGAAGCAGUGGGGAAUAUUGCAAAAGGGGGGCAAGCCUGAUGCAGCCAGGCCGCGUGUAUGAAGAAGGCCUUCGGGUUGUAAGGUACGUUCAGCGAGGAGGCGUUACUCGCAGAAGAAGCACCGGCUAACUCCGUGCCAGCCGCCGCGGUAAUAC
rnacentral:rRNA from 1 species